GCGGAGCCGCUGCCCGGGGGAGGGAGUUGGGAGUGAGGGGACAGCGGGCCGCAUGGUUUCAGGGGGAUUUGAAGGAUUCUCAAAUUCUGUCAGCUUUAUAAAUGGACAUCAUGUGAGAGACGGUCACUUACUGUCAGAAAUAAAACUGUACCUGCUCCUGCCCAGCUACCUCAAUGAGACAGUGAACAGAGAUUAACACCGAGAACAUCAGUAUUUUGUUGCAGAGGAAAGCACCAGAGGAGCUGUUUAAUACAAGGAUACAGAAAGGAUCCACACUCCUGCUGUCUAGGUUACAUAGCUUGUUUAACAAGGUCUGGGUAAGUUACAGGAAGUCCUCCAAGGUUCAUUACACGUCUCUGCAGCACUGCUCGGAGUCUGCUCACUGACCACGCGUCACACAGGACAUCUGGAUGCCCCUGUUUCACUUGGGGUGCAAAGCUUGCUCGCGUACGAUCCCGCCGAGGUACAGGGCGAGCCGUGCCCACAUCCACUCCGGCAGGCGCUCGGCCAGCGCGAACUGUGGAGAGGCAACGGGGGAACAGAGCACAGGGAAAGGGAGGGACACGUUAGGAAACAUUCCACUCAACUGCUUCUCAAAUCACUACCAAAGCAAGGCAAAACCUGCUUGAGCAUCAGCAACUAAGCCUUAAAUUCCAGCCCUUGGAAGUUAAGCUAUUUAGCUGUUUUGGAAGGAGCACCCACAACUGAACAGUAAAGUUCUGCAAAUAAAUCCUAAAGCAGUUUGGACAAGUUC